rnacentral:rRNA from 1 species
GUUCUCAGUUCGGACUGCAGUCUGCAACUCGACUGCACGAAGCUGGAAUCGCUAGUAAUCGCGGAUCAGCACGCCGCGGUGAAUACGUUCCCGGGCCUUGUACACACCGCCCGUCACACCAUGGGAGUUUGUAACGCCCAAAGUCGGUGGCCUAACCUUUAUGGAGGGAGCCGCCUAAGGCGGGACAGAUGACUGGGGUGAAGUCGUAACAAGGUAUC